rnacentral:rRNA from 1 species
AUUGAACGCUGGCGGCAUGCUUUACACAUGCAAGUCGAACGGUAACAGGCCGCAAGGUGCUGACGAGUGGCGAACGGGUGAGUAAUGCAUCGGAACGUGCCCAGUCGUGGGGGAUAACUACUCGAAAGAGUAGCUAAUACCGCAUACGAUCUAUGGAUGAAAGCGGGGGACCGUAAGGCCUCGCGCGAUUGGAGCGGCCGAUGUCAGAUUAGGUAGUUGGUGGGGUAAAGGCUCACCAAGCCAACGAUCUGUAGCUGGGCGGAGAGGACGACCCGCCACACUGGGACUGAGACACGGCCCAGACUCCUACGGGAGGCAGCAGUGGGGAAUUUUGGACAAUGGGCGCAAGCCUGAUCCAGCAAUGCCGCGUGCAGGAAGAAGGCCUUCGGGUUGUAAACUGCUUUUGUACGGAACGAAACGGCUCUGGUUAAUACCCGGGGCUAAUGACGGUACCGUAAGAAUAAGCACCGGCUAACUACGUG